rnacentral:lncRNA from 1 species
AGAGCAUGCCAGCCACCAGCACACCAGCAUCCGGCACCUUCACAAAUCUCAGCACAACCCUGGGCAAGUUAUUCCACUUCUCUGGACUUCGGUCCUCCCAUCCAUACAAGAAGAGAAAACAUCUGGGUUUUGCUAGGAGCCCUUCCACCGGAACAGUCCAAGAUCCCGCGACUCUUUCAUGUCAAGCCUCGGAGGGCUUCUGGGCUGCAGGAGCACAAAGGGAGCCCCUCCAGGUACAGGAGUCCAGAGUUAGGGCUGAAAGGAGAGGAAAUUGGCUGCCCUGCUUGACUGACCACACAGAGGCUCUGAUGCCACCAAACUGCUUGAGAACAGCUCUCCUCCCAGAGCGCUGGUCCUGUGUCCUGCCCACCGACCCAGUUUCUUUCUUGGUCUAGCAUUUGGAGCGCAUCAUGAACCAGCAGAGCACUGGCUAAUCGCGAGCCAGGGAACUUGCUUCAGUGGGGGAACCACGGUGACCUGCAAUGCCCAUCUUUCUACCUGUGGGCUCCCGGGAUAUGAAGGGUGGUAAAGACUGGCUCUGAUGAGCAGAGCAGGCUCAGGUCACCCUGGAUGGAGCCCUGGGUUGCUCCCCAGAGGCCUGGGUUCUAGCCACAGACAUAGGACCUCAUUUUCUCCUUCUGGACAGUGAGUAGUUUGAUCCAGAGAGUCUGUGGGGUCUCUUUACACUGUAGCAGGUGGUGGCUCCAGGAGCAGAUAAGAACAAAUUACACAUAGGGUAGAGCAUGGAAGAGCUGUGUGUCUUCAGCAGGAUGACAAUUCCCUCUGCUGCCUGCACCCUCAUCAAGAACAGAAUUACCUUUCAGACCCGUUGCUUUCUAAAUGGAAGAGGAAGGAAGGAGAAGGCAGAUCACCCUCGACCAAGCUCAAGGGAGGGGUGGCAUCUGGCGGGAAGGGCACUGCCCCCGCACCCUCCCCCAUUGGGCACUGCCCACUGCCAGAAGGUGGUGUAGCUUACAGGUUAGAAUAAUCAGGCUG